rnacentral:misc_RNA from 1 species
GAUGAAGAACGUAGCGAAAUGCGAUAAGUAGUGUGAAUUGCAGAAUUCAGUGAAUCAUCGAAUCUUUGAACGCACAUUGCGCCCCUUGGUAUUCCAUGGGGCAUGCCUGUUCGAGCGUCAUUUCAACCAUCAAGCCCCCGGGCUUGUGUUGGGGACCUGCGGCUGCCGCAGGCCCUGAAAAGCAGUGGCGGGCUCGCUGUCACACCGAGCGUAGUAGAUUUUAUCUCGCUCUGGGCGUGCUGCGGGUUCCGGCCGUUAAACCACCCUUUUAACCCAAGGUUGACCUCGGAUCAGGUAGGAAGACCCGCUGAACUUAAGCAUAUCAAUAAGCGGAGGA